GACGAACGCUGGCGGCGUGCUUAACACAUGCAAGUCGAACGGAAAGGCCUCAGCUUGCUGGGGUACUCGAGUGGCGAACGGGUGAGUAACACGUGGGUGAUCUGCCUUGCACUCUGGGAUAAGCUUGGGAAACUGGGUCUAAUACCGGAUAUGAACUGCCUUUAGUGUGGUGGUUGGAAAGUUUUUUCGGUGCAAGAUGAGCUCGCGGCCUAUCAGCUUGUUGGUGGGGUAAUGGCCUACCAAGGCGUCGACGGGUAGCCGGCCUGAGAGGGUGUACGGCCACAUUGGGACUGAGAUACGGCCCAGACUCCUACGGGAGGCAGCAGUGGGGAAUAUUGCACAAUGGGCGGAAGCCUGAUGCAGCGACGCCGCGUGGGGGAUGACGGCCUUCGGGUUGUAAACUCCUUUCGACAGGGACGAAGCUUUUUGUGACGGUACCUGGAUAAGAAGCACCGGCUAACUACGUG
rnacentral:rRNA from 1 species